rfam:Clostridium sp. CAG:288 genomic scaffold, scf23
GGGGGAUUAGUUAAAUGGUAUAACAGCGGUCUCCAAAACCGUUGUUGAGAGUUCGAUUCUUUCAUCCCCCG